AGGGCUGUGGCUCAGUGGAGAGCACUUGCCUAGCAUGCGUGAGGCACUGGGUUCCAACCCCGGCACCACAU
rnacentral:tRNA from 1 species